UGAGGAAUAUUGGUCAAUGGACGCAAGUCUGAACCAGCCAUGCCGCGUGGAGGAUGAAGGCCUUCUGGGUUGUAAACUUCUUUUAUUGGGGAAGAAAAGCACGGUUUCUACUGUGUCCGACGGUACCCAAGGAAUAAGCACCGGCUAACUCCGUGCCAGCAGCCGCGGUAAUACGGAGGGUGCAAGCGUUAUCCGGAUUCACUGGGUUUAAAGGGUGUGUAGGCGGGCUGUUAAGUCAGUGGUGAAAUCUCAAGGCUCAACCUUGAAACUGCCAUUGAUACUAUCAGUCUUGAAUCUUGUUGAGGUAGGCGGAAUAUGUCAUGUAGCGGUGAAAUGCUUAGAUAUGACAUAGAACACCGAUUGCGAAGGCAGCUUACUAAACAAGCAUUGACGCUGAGGCACGAAAGCGUGGGGAUCAAACA
rnacentral:rRNA from 1 species